rnacentral:lncRNA from 1 species
GGGCCAACAUCUAAUUGAUUUUAAGUUAAGGUUUAGGUCAAUGCAAUAUACAGGAUGGUAGUUUGUGGGCCAAGGAAGGGUGAUGAAAUCUCUACCUUAUCUUGUUUAGGGUUUGUGCCCUUAACAUGUUUUAUGGACUUAUGUAAUGCAAGAAGAAAAGAUGACUAGAUUUGAUAGUUAGUUAAGAGUAAAUUGAUUUAUUUUAUUUUUUAAGUUUUGUGAUUAAGUAUCUAAUUCCUUAAAUAGA